GGGUGAAGAAGAAGUCCCUUUGAAAAGAAAGAGGAGGGUGGUUCCCCAAACUAAGGAAGCCCCGACCGGGAAAAGAAUGAGGAACCCCUUUAAAGGGCCUGCUACCGACAAGUCCGGACACCCAGAGGCCGAUCGCGAUCUCCCGAACGGCGUAUGGGAUGCCGGCUUCGAUCUUGGAUACAAGAUAGACCCCAAACUUGACCCGGCC
rnacentral:lncRNA from 1 species